rnacentral:rRNA from 1 species
GACGAACGCUGGCGGCGUGCUUAACACAUGCAAGUCGUACGGUAAGGCCCUUUCUGGGGUGCACGCGUGGCGAACGGGUGAGUAACACGUGAGUAACCUGCCCACCACUUUGGGAUAACGCUAUGCAACUAGUGCUAAUACUUGCUAUGUGCUCCUGCUGCCUGGUGGGGGUUGGAAAGCUCCGGGGGUUGUGGAUGGACUCGCGGCCUAUCUGCUUGUUGGUUGGGUAGUGGGCUACCAAGGCGGCCUCGGGUAGGCGGCCUGAGAGGGUGACCGGCCACAUUGGGAAUGGGAUACGGGCCAGACUCCUACGGGAGGCAAGAGGGGGGAAUAAUGCACAAUGGGCGCAAGCCGGAUGCAGCAACGCCGCGGGCGGGAUGAAGGGCUUCGGGUUGUAAACCGCUUUCAGCAGGGACGAAGCUUUUUGUGACGGUACCUGCAGAAGAAGCACCGGCUAACUACGUG